rnacentral:snRNA from 1 species
GGAUGUGAGGGUAAUCUGGCUGCAGCAUCUGUCACCCCAUUGGUCUCCAGGGUUGAUUGGGCUGAUCUGAUUGGUGAGGCAGGUGUCCCCAUACUCCCUCACUGCUCCAUGUGUGUCCCUCCUGAAGCUGUAGAAGAGGACGACCUUCCCCAAAUAGAGGAGGACUGGUCAAGGGUAUACGAGUAGCUGUGAUCCUCUGAUAGAGCCUCCAAACAAGCUCUUAAGAUAACCUCUUCUUUAGUUACUGUCAUUACACACACACACACACACACAC